rnacentral:lncRNA from 1 species
UGAAAGAUUGUUUUCUUUGCGGAUUUAUAGAAGACGUGAGAAAAGUAAAAGAAAUUCAAGAAAGAGGGUUCAGAUUAGAGCUAUUCUAUGCAGAAAAAAAGUCAGGUGUAAUCUUUCCUUAUUUAAUGAAUUUUAUUUUAUUCGCAUAUUUUUUGUUUUGAUUUUUCUCUUUUGUGAUUGUAUCAGUUUUUGCGAAGGAGACGGGUUUAUAAUAAAAAUCCGAUUUGACGCUUUCGUUGUGAAAUCAUAAUAAUCGGUACCGGAUCCACAACCGUCACUAUCAGAGCAAAAUUCGGUACCGGGACGAGUACCCGAUUCCCAACAGUAUAAUCUCUGCAUGCUUUCAUUUAUUUAUUUAUUUAUAUUUUUCAUCUAGGUACAAAAAAAAGUAGAAGCACCGAGUUGGCUUUUGAUUUAUAAAGCAUUAUUUUAGCUUAAACACCUAUUAAUGUAAACCUAAGGGCGUGUUUGGUUCGAAGUCGGAGUCGGAGUCGGAAUCGGAGUCAGAAUCAAAAUAAGCUGGAAGCGGAAUCGGAAUGACUCAUUACCUAAUUCUGUUUGGUUCAUUACCUAAAUCGGAAUAGGAAUAAAUCAUUCACAUUAUCGGUGUUUAGUUGUGGAUAUAAAAAACGUAAUGAAAUUAAUAUACUAACAUUAUCUUUAUAAUAUAUAUUAAUUUAAAUUCAAAUUAAAAAUUAAAUAUUAAAAAUUUACAUCAAAAUUUUGAAAUAAUGUCGAAAUUUUAAAUCUAUUUUUUUUAAAAAAAAAUUAAACUUUGAAGUUGAGUGAAU